rnacentral:misc_RNA from 1 species
AUCUAUAUCCAAAAUCGAUGACACUGAUUUUAUCGAAUGCCUUUCAAGCUAGAUAAGCUGAGAAAACCACACCUAUAGAUCAGCUGGACCACUGGCCUUUCCUGAAGAACCGACUGUCCCCAUAUAGGCAGUCAUGUGACAAGACCCCCAAUAAAUUUGGGCCAUUGACUCAGCGAUGUACCUCUGAAAUCAGAAGAAAUACAGAAGCUACGCCUGAUGCUUUAAUUUGGAUGUCCGCUAGGAUUUCAUCUACACAGAAAGUCCUGCUACUGGUUCUCAAACGUGCGAUGUUCGUUUCCAGAGGCGGCUGCCUACUGUUGUUACUUGGAGAGCCAUCUUGCGACAAUAGAAAGCCAAGAUGAAGACCCGUUCAUCAACGGAUAUGCUAUCCGACGUGGCAG